AUGUCCCAUAUGGGAAACUCAGAUGGAAUGCUGGGAUGGAGCUGCCACCAGCCCUGGCCUGGACACACCACAGCUUUUCUUUUCCACGGGAUAAAAAAAGAGCUGCAAGAAGCCUCUGCCACUCCUGAUUCAGUUCCCUUCUCAGGACACACCAGGACUGGCCCUGGCCUGCACCUGAGUCUGCCCAUGGUGAGGUCCAUCAGGCACUUCAGCAUUGGUGUUCCUGCAGGAGGCAGCUGCUGGGAAGCCUCAGGCCAGAGGCCAACGGGAAAGGAAAGAUGCUCAUCAGCCUUCCAGCCUAGUCCUGCCUUUUCACCUCUGAUUAGUCAGCUCUUAAACAUCUUACCUGGAGGAUGCCACUGGCCCCCAGUUUGA
rnacentral:lncRNA from 1 species